AACGCUAGCUACAGGCUUAACACAUGCAAGUCGAGGGGAAACGACAUCGAAAGCUUGCUUUUGAUGGGCGUCGACCGGCGCACGGGUGAGUAACGCGUAUCCAACCUGCCCACCACUUGGGGAUAACCUUGCGAAAGUAAGACUAAUACCCAAUGAUAUCUCUAGAAGACAUCUGAAGGAGAUUAAAGAUUUAUCGGUGGUGGAUGGGGAUGCGUCUGAUUAGCUUGUUGGCGGGGUAACGGCCCACCAAGGCGACGAUCAGUAGGGGUUCUGAGAGGAAGGUCCCCCACAUUGGAACUGAGACACGGUCCAAACUCCUACGGGAGGCAGCAGUGAGGAAUAUUGGUCAAUGGGCGAGAGCCUGAACCAGCCAAGUAGCGUGCAGGAUGACGGCCCUAUGGGUUGUAAACUGCUUUUAUAAGGGAAUAAAGUGAGCCUCGUGAGGCUUUUUGCAUGUACCUUAUGAAUAAGGACCGGCUAAUUCCGUGCCAGCAGCCGCGGUAAUACGGAGGAUCCGAGCGUUAUCCGGAUUUAUUGGGUUUAAAGGGAGCGUAGGCGGACGCUUAAGUCAGUUGUGAAAGUUUGCGGCUCAACCGUAAAAUUGCAGUUGAUACUGGAUAUCUUGAGUGCAGUUGAGGCAGGCGGAAUUCGUGGUGUAGCGGUGAAAUGCUUAGAUAUCACGAAGAACUCCGAUUG
rnacentral:rRNA from 1 species